rnacentral:rRNA from 1 species
AUUGAACGCUGGCGGCAGGCCUAACACAUGCAAGUCGAACGAGUGGCGGACGGGUGAGUAAUGUCUGGGAAACUGCCCGAUGGAGGGGGAUAACUACUGGAAACGGUAGCUAAUACCGCAUACCAUCGGAUGUGCCCAGAUGGGAUUAGCUAGUAGGUGGGGUAACGGCUCACCUAGGCGACGAUCCCUAGCUGGUCUGAGAGGAUGACCAGGCAGAAGGGAACUGAGAAACGGGCCAGAUGCCUAGGUGAGGCAGCAGUGGGGAAGAUUGCACAAUGGGCGCAAGCCUGAGGAAGCCAUGCCGAGUGUAGGAAGAAGGCCGUCGGGUUGGAAAGUACUUUCAGCGAGGAGGCGUUACUCGCAGAAGAAGCACCGGCUAACUCCGGGCCAGCAGCCGCGGUAAUUC